CGCGCGCCUUAGCGCCAUCCAUUUUCGGGGCUAGUUAAUUCGGCAGGUGAGUUGUUACACACUCCUUAGCGGAUUUCGACUUCCAUGACCACUGUCCUGCUGUCUUAAUCGACCAACACCCUUUGUGGGUUCUAUGUUAGCGCGCAGUUUGGCACCGUAACCCGGCUUACGGUUCAUCCCGCAUCGCCAGUUCUGCUUAGCAAAAAUGGCCGACUUGGAGCUCCCGAUUCCAUGGGACGGCUCACCGGAGCAGUCGUGCCGUCCUACCUAUUUAAAGUUUGAGAAUAGGUCGAGGGUGUUGCGCCCCCGAUGCCUCUAAUCAUUGGCUUUACCCGAUAG